rnacentral:lncRNA from 1 species
UAUCAUCAGUUUAUGCAGAACUUACAAAUAUGAAACCGUUUCCGAGUCCAUGAUACUUGACGAAGUGAAGAAUACCACCCUACGAUCGAGAAUCGAAUCAGGAGAAUUUCUCAGAAGCCUCGAUUCUCAUUGAAGCGAAAAUGCGGGAACUUGGUUUUCGAAUAGCGGAAAUAGGAAAGGGAGCGGUGAUUACGGUAGUGAACGGCAGCGCUAUGGCGCGGUCAUUGCCAUUGGCGACGGGGAAUUGAAGUAAAGGGAGACUGAAUUGAAGGAGUCAAACGGGAGUUUUUAUUAGUACUGUAUUUU